rnacentral:rRNA from 1 species
CACACCGCCCGUCACACCAUGGGAGUUGAUUGCACCAGAAGUAGGUAGCCUAACCGCAAGGGAGGGCGCUUACCACGGUGUGGUCAAUGACUGGGGUG